rnacentral:rRNA from 1 species
UACGUAGGGACCAAGCGUUGUCCGGAAUUAUUGGGCGUAAAGAGCGUGUAGGCGGCCAGAUAAGUCCGCUGUGAAAUCUCGAGGCUCAACUUCGAGCUGUCGGUGGAAACUAUCUGGCUAGAGUCCGGAAGAGGAGAAUGGAAUUCCUGGUGUAGCGGUGAAAUGCGCAGAUAUCAGGAAGAACACCCGUGGCGAAGGCGGUUCUCUGGGACGGUACUGACGCUGAGACGCGAAAGCGUGGGGAGCGAACAGG